rnacentral:rRNA from 1 species
GAUGAACGCUAGCGGCAGGCUUAACACAUUCAAGUCGAAGGGUAACAGGGUGCUUGCACCGCUGACGACCGGCGCACGGGUGCGUAACGCGUAUAGAACCUACCUUUUACAGGAGAAUACCCCAGAGAAAUUUGGAAUAAUGCUCCAUAGUAUUAUUGAAUGGCAUCAUUUGAUAAUUAAACAUUUAUGGGUAAAAGAUGGCUAUGCGUUCUAUUAGCUAGAUGGUAAGGUAACGGCUUACCAUGGCAACGAUAGAUAGGGGUCCUGAGAGGGAGAUCCCCCACACUGGUACUGAGACACGGACCAGACUCCUACGGGAGGCAGCAGUGAGGAAUAUUGGACAAUGGAGGCAACUCUGAUCCAGCCAUGCCGCGUGCAGGAAGACGGUCCUAUGGAUUGUAAACUGCUUUUAUACAGGAAGAAACACUCCCUCGUGAGGGAGCUUGACGGUACCGUAUGAAUAAGCACCGGCUAACUCCGUGCCAGCAGCCGCGGUAAUACGGAGGGUGCAAGCGUUAUCCGGAAUCAUUGGGUUUAAAGGGUCCGUAGGCGGGCUAAUAAGUCAGGGGUGAAAUCCAACAGCUUAACUGUUGAAUUGCCUUUGAUACUGUUAGUCUUGAGUUAUAUGGAAGUAGAUAGAAUGUGUAGUGUAGCGGUGAAAUGCUUAGAGAUUACACAGAAUACCGAUUGCGAAGGCAGUUUACUA